rnacentral:rRNA from 1 species
AGAGUUUGAUCCUGGCUCAGAGCGAACGCUGGCGGCAGGCUUAACACAUGCAAGUCGAGCGGGCGUAGCAAUACGUCAGCGGCAGACGGGUGAGUAACGCGUGGGAACGUACCUUUUGGUUCGGAACAACCCAGGGAAACUUGAGCUAAUACCGGAUAAGCCCUAACGGGGAAAGAUUUAUCGCCGAAAGAUCGGCCCGCGUCUGAUUAGCUAGUUGGUGAGGUAAUGGCUCACCAAGGCGACGAUCAGUAGCUGGUCUGAGAGGAUGAUCAGCCACAUUGGGACUGAGACACGGCCCAAACUCCUACGGGAGGCAGCAGUGGGGAAUAUUGGACAAUGGGCGCAAGCCUGAUCCAGCCAUGCCGCGUGAGUGAUGAAGGCCCUAGGGUUGUAAAGCUCUUUUGUGCGGGAAGAUAAUGACGGUACCGCAAGAAUAAGCCCCGGCUAACUUCGUGCCAGCCGCCGCGGUAAUAC